GUGGGGAAUAUUGGACAAUGGGCGAAAGCCUGAUCCAGCAAUGCCGCGUGAGUGAUGAAGGCCCUAGGGUUGUAAAGCUCUUUUACCAGGGAUGAUAAUGACAGUACCUGGAGAAUAAGCUCCGGCUAACUCCGUGCCAGCAGCCGCGGUAAUACGGAGGGAGCUAGCGUUGUUCGGAAUUACUGGGCGUAAAGCGCGCGUAGGCGGUUUUUUAAGUCAGAGGUGAAAGCCCGGGGCUCAACCCCGGAAUUGCCUUUGAAACUGGAAAACUUGAAUCUUGGAGAGGUCAGUGGAAUUCCGAGUGUAGAGGUGAAAUUCGUAGAUAUUCGGAAGAACACCAGUGGCGAAGGCGACUGACUGGACAAGUAUUGACGCUGAGGUGCGAAAGCGUGGGGAGCAAACAGGAUUAGAUACCCCUGUAGUCC
rnacentral:rRNA from 1 species